rnacentral:rRNA from 1 species
AAUGAUGGUAUCUUACCAGAAAGUCACGGCUAACUACGUGCCAGCAGCCGCGGUAAAACGUAGGUCACAAGCGUUAUCCGGAUUUACUGGGUGUAAAGGGCGCGCAGGCGGGAAGACAAGUUGGAAGUGAAAUCUAUGGGCUCAACCCAUAAACUGCUUUCAAAACUGUUUUUCUUGAGUAGUGCAGAGGUAGGCGGAAUUCCCGGUGUAGCGGUGGAAUGCGUAGAUAUCGGGAGGAACACCAGUGGCGAAGGCGGCCUACUGAGCACCAACUGACGCUGAGGCUCGAAAGUGUGGGUAGCAAACAGGAUUAGAUACCCUGGUAGUCCACACCGUAAACGAUGAUUACUAGGUGUUGGAGGAUUGACCCCUUCAGUGCCGCAGUUAACACAAUAAGUAAUCCACCUGGGGAGUACGACCGCAAGGUUGAAACUCAAAGGAAUUGACGGGGGCCCGCACAAGCAGUGGAGUAUGUGGUUUAACUCGACGCAACGCGAAGAACCUUACCAAGUCUUGACAUCCCUUGACAGGCAUAGAAAUAUGUUUUCUCUUCGGAGCAAGGAGACAGGUGGUGCAUGGUUGUCGUCAGCUCGUGUCGUGAGAUGUUGGGUUAAGUCCCGCAACGAGCGCAACCCUUGUGGUCAGUUACUACGUAAGAGGACUCUGGCCAGACUGCCGUUGACAAAACGGAGGAAGGUGGGGAUGACGUCAAAUCAUCAUGCCCUUUAUGACUUGGGCUACACACGUACUACAAUGGCGUUAAACAAAGAGAAGCAAGACCGCGAGGUGGAGCAAAACUCAGAAACAACGUCCCAGUUCGGACUGCAGGCUGCAACUCGCCUGCACGAAGUCGGAAUUGCUAGUAAUCGUGGAUCAGCAUGCCACGGUGAAUACGUUCCCGGGCCUUGCACACACCGCCCGUCA